ACGAACGCUGGCGGCGUGCUUCACACAUGCAAGUCGAACGGUGAAGCGCCUUCCUUUUUGGUGGGUGUGGAUGAGUGGCGAACGGGUGAGUAACACGUGAGUAACCUGCCCCCUUCUUCUGGAUAACCGCAUGAAAGUGUGGCUAAUACGGGAUAUUCUGGGUCUGUCGCAUGAUGGGUCUGGGAAAGAUAUUGUUUCGGUGGGGGAUGGGCUCGCGGCCUAUCAGCUUGUUGGUGGGGUGAUGGCCUACCAAGGCGGUGACGGGUAGCCGGCCUGAGAGGGUGGACGGUCACACGGGGACUGGGACACGGCCCAGACUCCUACGGGAGGCAGCAGUGGGGAAUAUUGCACAAUGGGCGCAAGCCUGAUGCAGCGACGCCGCGUGAGGGAUGGAGGCCUUCGGGUUGUGAACCUCUUUCGCCAGUGAAGCAGGCCUGCCUCGUUUGUGGGUGGGUUGACGGUAGCUGGAUAAGAAGCGCCGGCUAACUACGUG
rnacentral:rRNA from 1 species